rnacentral:rRNA from 1 species
UACGAAGGGGACUAGCGUUGUUCGGAAUCACUGGGCGUAAAGCGCACGUAGGCGGAUGUGUCAGUCAGGGGUGAAAUCCCGGGGCUCAACCUCGGAACUGCCUUUGAUACAGCACGUCUCGAGUCCGGAAGAGGUGGGUGGAAUUCCUAGUGUAGAGGUGAAAUUCGUAGAUAUCUGGAGGAACACCGGUGGCGAAGGCGGCAUCCUGGACCGGUAUUGACGCUGAGGCGCGAAAGCCAGGGGAGCAAACGGG